UACGAAGGGGGCUAGCGUUGUUCGGAAUCAUUGGGCGUAAAGGGCGCGUAGGUGGCCCGGUCAGUCCGUGGUGAAAGCGCGGGGCUCAACCCCGCGUCGGCCGUGGCAACUGUCGAGCUGGAGCACUGUAGAGGCAGGUGGAAUUCCGGGUGUAGCGGUGGAAUGCGUAGAGAUCCGGAAGAACACCGGUGGCGAAGGCGGCCUGCUGGGCAGUGGCUGACGCUGAGGCGCGACAGCGUGGGGAGCAAACAGG
rnacentral:rRNA from 1 species